rnacentral:rRNA from 1 species
UUUGACCGUGCAAAGGUAGCGUAAUCACUUGUCUUUUAAAUGAAGACCUGUAUGAAUGGCAUAACGAGGGCCAAGCUGUCUCCUUUCUCCAGUCAAUGAAAUUGAUCUUCCCGUGCAGAAGCGGGAAUAUAAACAUAAGACGAGAAGACCCUAUGGAGCUUUAGACACAAGACAGCCCAUGUAAAACACCUGGCUAAACAGAACUAACCAAGUGGCCCCUGCCCUUUUGUCUUUGGUUGGGGCGACCAUGGGGAAACAAACAUCCCCCAUGAGGAAUGGGGCCCUCCCCCUUAAGCCAGAGCCACAGCUCUAGCUAACAGAAUAUCUGACCUACAUAGAUCCGGCAAAGCCGAUCAACGGACCGAGUUACCCUAGGGAUAACAGCGCAAUCCUCUUUUAGAGCCCAUAUCGACAAGAGGGUUUACGACCUCGAUGUUGGAUCAGGACAUCCUAAUGGUGUAGCCGCUAUUAAGGGUUCGUUUGUUCAACGAUUAAAGUCCUACGUGAUCUGAGUUC